UCAUGAAUGCCAUGUGAUGAAUUAGGUUGCUUGCAUUAGAAUUCACGAAUAUGUUGCAUUGCAUAUGUUAAAUGUUGAUGUGGAUGAAUGUUGGAUGAUCCAUAGCCCUCGAUCUAUGAUAUGACGAUGUGAUAUGUACGGUAUGGAAUGUAAGACCAGUGGGACCCAUUCUACGUUCGCUGGCACUAUGUAAGGGAAAGACCAGGACCCAUUCUACGUUCUGGCACAGUUGGACAAUGUUAUGUUAUGAUAUGUAAGAGAAAGACCAGGACCCAUUCUACAUUCUGGCACAGUUGGACACUGUUAUGUUAUGAUAUGUAAGGGAAAGACCAGGACCCAUUCUACGUUCUGGCACAGUUGGACCAUGUAGAGGGCUAUUGGUGACAAAUUCAUCCUUGAUGUGAUUAGCUGUGAUGUGAUGCAUUCCAUGAUCC
rnacentral:lncRNA from 1 species